GACGAACGCUGGCGGCGUGCUUAACACAUGCAAGUCGAGCGGUAAGGCCCUUUCGGGGGUACGACGAGCGGCGAACGGGUGAGUAACACGUGGGUGACCUGCCCUCAGCUCUGGGAUAAGCCUGGGAAACCGGGUCUAAUACCGGAUAUGACUCCAUGACGCAUGUUGUGGGGUGGAAAGCCUUGUGCGGCUGAGGAUGGGCCCGCGGCCUAUCAGCUUGUUGGUGGGGUGAUGGCCUACCAAGGCGACGACGGGUAGCCGGCCUGAGAGGGCGACCGGCCACACUGGGACUGAGACACGGCCCAGACUCCUACGGGAGGCAGCAGUGGGGAAUCUUGCGCAAUGGGCGAAAGCCUGACGCAGCGACGCCGCGUGAGGGAUGACGGCCUGGUGUAACUC
rnacentral:rRNA from 1 species